rnacentral:ribozyme from 1 species
UCUGCUUCCCCCUCUUCCCUGCUGCUCUGCAAUUUUGUCCCCUCUGAACCUCCAGUAAACCGAACAACAACGAUUCAUC